rnacentral:lncRNA from 1 species
CAAACCCACAAGAGAGCGGGUGUCUGCCACUGGACCCAUGGAAGCUUCCUGUCCUGGGGUAGUGUGGGUGAGCCCAGAGCUGCCCCAGCAGUCCAGCUGGCAGGAGUCACAGAAUGACUGUUGAGCAAAGUCACAGGCAGAAAGUGUGGGGCUGAGCUGGACCUGUCUCCAAACCAGAGCUUUGGGGCUUAUGCAGAGCCUGUCUCUAGUCUGGAAGGAGAGUGUCCCAGCCCAAGGGAUGCCAUCUAAAAUGCCAAGGGGCCCUGAGCUAUGAGAAUGCACCUCUCUGCACAGACCCCCACAGUGCCCGAGACCACCCUGCCUCUCCGAGUCAGUGCAGAUUCCUGGCCCGGCCCGUGAGGUCUGCCAUCCCAUGGGACACUACCUGUCCAGGGGGCCGGUUCCUUUGUUUUUCCUCUCCACCCCAGGGUGCUUCAGGGGUGCUGGGAAACUUGCUCACCCACAUGUUUGGGGAUUCUGCACCUAAAGAUCCCCAGCUCCACCCCAGUUUGCCCACAGAUCCCCAUCCUAAUGGCUGAGGCCCAUUCUUUCUCUAACAAUCCCCUAAAUUUACCCAGAGACCCACAGAGGCAGCAAAUUCAACUUGCAUGAUGAUGCAGACACCCACCAGAUUAGACUUUGGGUUUCAUUUUCAGAAACCUGGUCCCUGUGGCUACAGGAGGUAACAGGUUCUCUUGGGGGCAGCUGCUUUGGGGUCUCCAAAACCACAAUUCACUAAGAGAACACACAGGACUCGUCACGGGGAUGCGCUCAUGGUUGGUUUUAUUACAACAGUCAGACACAGAGGGAAAUCUGCAGGGGAGCAGGCCCAGGCCUCCCGUGUCAGAGGAGGAGAGAGCUGCCCAGGGCCAUGGCUCCCGCCCUGCUGAGAUGGCAUCCCAGGCUGAUGUCAG